rnacentral:rRNA from 1 species
GACGAACGCUGGCGGCGUGCUUAACACAUGCAAGUCGAACGGAAAGGCCCUGCUUUUGUGGGGUGCUCGAGUGGCGAACGGGUGAGUAACACGUGAGUAACCUGCCCUUGACUUUGGGAUAACUUCAGGAAACUGGGGCUAAUACCGGAUAGGAGCUCCUGCUGCAUGGUGGGGGUUGGAAAGUUUCGGCGGGUGGGGAUGGACUCGCGGCUUAUCAGCUUGUUGGUGGGGUAGUGGCUUACCAAGGCUUUGACGGGUAGCCGGCCUGAGAGGGUGACCGGCCACAUUGGGACUGAGAUACGGCCCAGACUCCUACGGGAGGCAGCAGUGGGGAAUAUUGCACAAUGGGCGGAAGCCUGAUGCAGCAACGCCGCGUGCGGGAUGACGGCCUUCGGGUUGUAAACCGCUUUCGCCUGUGACGAAGCGUGAGUGACGGUAAUGGGUAAAGAAGCACCAGCUAACUACGUG